rnacentral:pre_miRNA from 1 species
AUCACCUGAGGGUCUUGUUAAAAUGCAGAUUCUGAUUCCGUAGGGCUGGCUGGGGCCUGGGAAUCUGCCUUUUCAGCAAGCUCCCAGGUGAUGCGGU